rnacentral:rRNA from 1 species
AUGCUUUUAAUGACUUCAUUAGUGCUAACGCCAUUCGUGAGCUUCCUCGGGGGGGGAGCUCGCUUUACUUGGUCUAAUCAUCAGGCUAACCCUAUUAGAUCCGUGCUGGAUCGUGUUUUCCUUGGUCCCAGGUGGGAUGCCCUGUUCCCUAGGUCUUAUCUUCUCGCUAAAUGCAUUGUCGGGUCUGAUCAUACCCCCUUGAUUCUUGACGAUGGUUCCAUCUGCAAUAGACCUCCGGCUAGAUUUCAGUUUGAUGCUUCUUGGCUGUCGGUUGACGGCUUUGUCGAUAUGGUCGCUGCGAAAAUUUCCCACUCCCUUUCCUCCAACCUCCGCUCCUUUGGCCCUCUGGAUGACUGGCAUUCUUGCUCCUAUUCCCUUCGCAAAUUUCUUAGAGGGUGGUCGCAUAACCGUGCGGCGGAGGAUCGACGCUCCAAAGCCUUUCUUGAAAAUCAGAUCCUGAAGCUGGAUCGUACUGCUGACUCUAUUGGGCUCUCUGACGAUGGAUGGGUCGUUCGUUAUAAUCUGGAGGCUGCACUUUUGCAGCUGCACCAUCAAGCUGAGAUUUACUGGCGCCAGAGGGGCACUCUUAAUUGGACACUCAAAGGGGACGCUCCUACUGCAUAUUUUUUUGCGAUUGCGAACAGUAGGCGUAGGCGCUGUGACAUUAACAGUUUGAUGAUUAAUGGUCUGCGCUCCUCUGAUCAGUCGGUGAUUCUAGCUCAUGUAGUGGAUUUCUUCUCGUCUUUGUUAGGGGCUAAACCUCAAUCGGGCUUGUCCAUUUCCCCCCACCUUUGGAGUUAUGGUCUUAAAAUUUCCCCCGAGGAGAAUGCCUCCUUGAUGAUCCCGCUCUCUGAUCAGGAAAUCUGGGACGUGGUUAAUUCUGCUAACCCCAAUGCAGCAUCUGGGCCAGAUGGCUUUCCAUUCCUUUCUUUCGGAGAUUUUGGCCCCAGUUGA